rnacentral:rRNA from 1 species
CCUACGGGAGGCAGCAGUGGGGAAUUUUGGACAAUGGGCGAAAGCCUGAUCCAGCAAUGCCGCGUGAGUGAAGAAGGCCUUCGGGUUGUAAAGCUCUUUUGUCAGGGAAGAAACGGUGAGAGCUAAUAUCUCUUGCUAAUGACGGUACCUGAAGAAUAAGCACCGGCUAACUACGUGCCAGCAGCCGCGGUAAUACGUAGGGUGCAAGCGUUAAUCGGAAUUACUGGGCGUAAAGCGUGCGCAGGCGGUUUUGUAAGUCUGAUGUGAAAUCCCCGGGCUCAACCUGGGAAUUGCAUUGGAGACUGCAAGGCUAGAAUCUGGCAGAGGGGGGUAGAAUUCCACGUGUAGCAGUGAAAUGCGUAGAUAUGUGGAGGAACACCGAUGGCGAAGGCAGCCCCCUGGGUCAAGAUUGACGCUCAUGCACGAAAGCGUGGGGAGCAAACAGGAUUAGAUACCCUGGUAGUCCACGCCCUAAACGAUGUCUACUAGUUGUCGGGUCUUAAUUGACUUGGUAACGCAGCUAACGCGUGAAGUAGACCGCCUGGGGAGUACGGUCGCAAGNUUAAAACGCAAAUGAAAUUGACGG